CCGGUCCUGCUCCCUCGGUGCCCCAAGUCGGGGCCCACAGCCUCCCCUUCGGCUCGUCCCAAUCCUGGGCGCUGCCACAUGGACCCGCUGGCCUAGUGAUGCGGGACCGGGGGCUCGACCCAAUGGGCAAGAGGGGAUGCGGCGGCGGGAGCAGCCGCCCUGACUCGCGGAGCAUCCUCCUCCGAGCGGCACCGCGGCGGGGCGGGCGGACAGGCAGGCGGGCGGGGACGCGGCGGGAGCGAGAGAGGCGCGAGGAGGCCGACACUGCUGGCCCCGGCCCUGCCACCCGCCGGAGACAGGGCGGCCUCGGGGCUCUGAUCCCCACCCUCCAGCUCCUGGACCCCCAGAACCAGGCCUCCCUCCCCCAUCUUCCGUCGGAGCCCGCAGCGGGGGAGGGGCGCCUCCGCCGCCCGGGGAAGCCGGCACCUGGGCCUCUGAGCGCCUCUCCCCGUGGCCGGGCCCAUGGCACUGUGAGCCGGCGAGGGAGCCCCGCUCGGCGCGGGGGGCGCCCGGCCCCCUCCCCGCCCCAUGCGCCCGCGGCUCUGAAGCCUGAGCGGGGCCGGGGGCCGGGCGGGGCCG
rnacentral:lncRNA from 1 species